rnacentral:rRNA from 1 species
GACGAACGCUGGCGGCGUGCUUAACACAUGCAAGUCGAACGGAGUGGCGAACGGGUGAGUAACACGUGGGUGAUCUGCCUUGCACUCUGGGAUAAGCUUGGGAAACUGGGUCUAAUACCGGAUAGUGCAAGAUGAGCUCGCGGCCUAUCAGCUUGUUGGUGGGGUAAUGGCCUACCACGGCGUCGACGGGUAGCCGGCCUGAGAGGGUGUACGGCCACAUGGGGACUGAGGUAGGGACCAGACGCCUACUGGGGGCAGCGGUGGGGAAUAUUGCACAAUGGGCGGAAGCCUGAUGCAGAGACGUCGGGUGGGGGAUGACGGCCUUCGGGUGGUAAACGCCUUUCGACAGGGACGCGGUACCUGUAUAAGAAGCACCGGCUAAUUACGUGCAAGCAGCCGCGGUAAUA